CAAGAUGGUCUCACUUGGUUUAAAGAGUAAGAGGACGGCGAAGUUAAUUCCUACCGCCGUGCCGUCUGUGCAUGCAAACCACUCUGCCUGCCCUGUCCCGAGGUCGAGAGACACCGUCUGCCGCAAGCGAGAGAUUGCCACGAUGUUGACAGACGCCUCACAGCAGGAGACCGUGGCCAGUGUAGACACUGUGGAGAGUGUCGAUACUGGGGAUCAGCCCUUGCCCUCCUCCACUUCUGACGCUGGGACACAAUGUUAUUUGAAGCCCCCCCGAUGGUCUCACGGUAAAUCUUUGGUAUUUUAAGGGGUAGAUAUUAUGUCUAAAACAUUGCAAGUAGGACAUUUCCAUACACAUUGAUGAAAUGAAUACAUAGCCUACACCAAAACAUAGCCGCUUAGAUUUGCCAUGAUUGUCAUAUGUUUGGGUAUGUUUACUGCCUCUGCCACAGCUGUGCAGGUUAACCUGAAGCCCAAGAUGGUUAGCGUGGGCACACAGACUUCAAUCAGCCCACAAACCUCCACUCCCCUCGCUAGUCCUGAACAGACAGUUGACGACGAUGAUGAUGAUAAUGCCACUGUCAUCAGUGACUUGUCGUGGGUGCCCGAAGAGCCGAUGGAUGAGGAGGAAUUGUUUGAUGAGGAGCCACCUUACACGUGUGACCCCCACCACAAUUGCAUUGACAAAUUCAUUGUUUGCCAAGAGGAGCUGAUGGGCCUUUUUGCCAUCUGUCCGGCCUGUUGUGAGAGGUCGGAUAGUAGCAUCGUGCAGCAGGAAGGAACUUUUGUUAAGAUCAAGCAGGU